rnacentral:rRNA from 1 species
UACGUAGGGCGCAAGCGUUGUCCGGAAUUAUUGGGCGUAAAGAGCUCGUAGGCGGCUUGUCACGUCGGGUGUGAAAGACCGGGCUUAACCCCGGUUCUGCAUUCGAUACGGGCUGGCUAGAGUGUGGUAGGGGAGAUCGGAAUUCCUGGUGUAGCGGUGAAAUGCGCAGAUAUCAGGAGGAACACCGAUGGCGAAGGCAGCUCGCUGGACGGUACUGACGCUGAGGCGCGAAGCGUGGGGAGCAAACAGGAUAGAUACCCGUG